AUAGUUAAAUUUAAUGCUUAUUUAGCAGAACCAACACGGAGAAGGCGGAGGCCAUAUUUCUAUCCUAGAAUUCCAUUCUACAGUUUCUUAAAUUGGAGCACAUAUUGAGGCUUAGUUUGGGACGGCUUUCUUCCUGCUUCAUGAAGUAACUUUUUAGUACAAAAAUUAAAAUUUUUUAAUUAAAAAGCUACUUUAAGAAACAGAAAAAACUGUCACAAAUGAAGCCUGAGUUGAUUUGAUUAAAUGGCAGAAUGGCUUCACAAUUCACAGCUUCUAAGCCCUGCUUUUUGCCGGUUUCCAAGAUAGGGAAGACAAGUGAAACUGGCAUUGCCCUGACAGCAGGGAUCACUAUUUUUACUGCAGCAAUAGGCAUCUUAUCCCAAUACGAAAGGUCGCUUGAGGAGAAUUGUAUAUUGUAAUGUUAUACAUAGUUGAUCAAGUUGCUGCUAUCAAGGGAUUCAAGUGGUUGAAAACUUGGACCCUAACUCGAGCUGUCGACAAUCCAGUUGACCCGACCCGAUACAAUAACCUAUUUUGAUGAGGAUGGAGAAGGUAAAACGAGCAUUAAGCAAGGCAGCAACGACAUAAACCGAAAAACUAGAACAGGAGGAGCGUGCGAGACAAUGAGAGUGGGGGAUGAGAUGCAAUUGCAAUAUUGUACAUUGCAAAUGUUUUAACCAAUUGUGAUGGAUUUGCAAUUUGUCGAGUUAAAAAUAGAUUGGAAUAUUGAAUAUCUCAGUGAACUAACUUAUUUCCAUAUGUUAGUAAGAAUAGUCCUUUAUGAUCACACAAUACAACUGCUAUACCCUCCACGUUAUACUCCAAUCUGUCGAAUGGGGAUUCCAAUUUUUG